UAUGGGAAAAUACCAGAUUUAUACUGAUAAAAUGUAAAAUACAGAGGAUAAUAUCAUAGCAAAUGGUGAUAAAUCACUUAAGAAAGAUAUAGAUAUAGAAAAAAUGUUAUUUGGGAAGUGACAAAAAAGUACCACAGGGUCUUUAUGGGGUUAAAUUUGCACGAGAAAAAGUAGUUAGAAG